rnacentral:rRNA from 2 species
ACGGGUGAGUAACACGUGAGUAACCUGCCCUUGACUCUGGGAUAACCUCCGGAAACGGAAGCUAAUACCGGAUAUGACGUACGGAGGCAUCUCCUGUACGUGGAAAGAACUUCGGUCAAGGAUGGACUCGCGGCCUAUCAGGUAGUUGGUGAGGUAACGGCUCACCAAGCCUACGACGGGUAGCCGGCCUGAGAGGGUGACCGGCCACACUGGGACUGAGACACGGCCCAGACUCCUACGGGAGGCAGCAGUGGGGAAUAUUGCACAAUGGGCGCAAGCCUGAUGCAGCAACGCCGCGUGAGGGACGACGGCCUUCGGGUUGUAAACCUCUUUUAGUAGGGAAGAAGCGAAAGUGACGGUACCUGCAGAAAAAGCACCGGCUAACUACGUGCCAGCAGCCGCGGUAAUACGUAGGGUGCGAGCGUUGUCCGGAAUUAUUGGGCGUAAAGAGCUCGUAGGCGGUCUGUCGCGUCUGCUGUGAAAACCCGAGGCUCAACCUCGGGCCUGCAGUGGGUACGGGCAGACUAGAGUGCGGUAGGGGAGAAUGGAAUUCCUGGUGUAGCGGUGGAAUGCGCAGA